UGGAAAGAUUAAAACUUGUUUUAAUUCCUGCAAAUUUAAGUAAUCUACGAGCAUUUUGGAACAUUUCUCCUUAAUCCCUCUGUCUAAUUUCAGAUUUUUGAUGAAGCCUUCUGGAGUUCUGUCUCUCCCCAGCUACAGAAGUAUUCUGAGAGGAGUGUAAAGGAAUUUUGCAGCUGAAGCAGAGCUCUAGGAAACCUUCGACACUGAAAUAACCGGUGGCCUCUAACUACGCAUACAAGGUUGCAAUU
rnacentral:lncRNA from 1 species